rnacentral:rRNA from 1 species
GUGGGGAAUUUUGGACAAUGGGGGCAACCCUGAUCCAGCAAUGCCGCGUGCAGGAAGAAGGCCUUCGGGUUGUAAACUGCUUUUGUACGGAACGAAACGGUCCUGGUUAAUACCUGGGGCUAAUGACGGUACCGUAAGAAUAAGCACCGGCUAACUACGUGCCAGCAGCCGCGGUAAUACGUAGGGUGCAAGCGUUAAUCGGAAUUACUGGGCGUAAAGCGUGCGAAGGCGGUUUUGUAAGACAGGCGUGAAAUCCCCGGGCUCAACCUGGGAAUGGCGCUUGUGACUGCAAGGCUGGAGUGCGGCAGAGGGGGAUGGAAUUCCGCGUGUAGCAGUGAAAUGCGUAGAUAUGCGGAGGAACACCGAUGGCGAAGGCAAUCCCCUGGGCCUGCACUGACGCUCAUGCACGAAAGCGUGGGGAGCAAACAGGAUUAGAAACCCCAGUAGUCC